UACGGAGGGUGCGAGCGUUAAUCGGAAUUACUGGGCGUAAAGCGCACGUAGGCGGCUUUGUAAGUUAGAGGUGAAAGCCCGGAGCUCAACUCCGGAAUUGCCUUUAAGACUGCAUCGCUCGAAUCAUGGAGAGGUGAGUGGAAUUCCGAGUGUAGAGGUGAAAUUCGUAGAUAUUCGGAAGAACACCAGUGGCGAAGGCGACUCACUGGACAUGUAUUGACGCUGAGGUGCGAAAGCGUGGGGAGCAAACAGG
rnacentral:rRNA from 1 species